GAGACAUUGACACACCUCAACCAUAACUCGGUUAUUAUAGGUACAGGUCUUUGCUAACCUUUUGGUUCUUCUUUCAGUCAAAAUAAAUACAGAUACCAUCAUGGGUAUGAGAGAGAAGUUGAAAAAGAAGGGAGAUCCACCUUCACAUUUUUUUUUUCUCUUUCUCUCUCUAAAACAUUCCUUUCUUUUCACUGAUCUUUGAAUCUGGUAAGACUCAACUUCAACCGUUUCUGUUCAACUUUGAUCUUCCUCCAUAUCACAGUGUCAAAGGGAGAAAGAAAAUUUAAAAAAGACCCACCUUAAGGGGAAAAAAAGGAACAGUGGUUUUGGUUUCUUUGACUGCACCACAAAUUGUGGGGUGUCUCCAAAUCAUUGCUAUCUCACUUUUGUCUGCCAAAGUUAGGGUCUUUAGAAUUAGUGUUUGCUUGCACAGUCUAGCUUUUCGAGAUUUAUGAUUAGGGUUUUGGAGGGGUGAGUGGUUGUGGAUGGUGUUGGGAUGGCGAGAAAGUGAGGGAAAAUGUGGCUGGUGGUAGUGGGGAGAGUAAAUGAGAGAUUUUGAGAGAUGGGGUGUGCGUUUGGGAGAGAGUCUUCGAGGGAGGAGAGGAGAGAGGAAGUGAGAGAGGCAAAAGCUGAGGUGAGUAGAGCAGAGGUUGUUGAGAAUGAGAACAUUGAGAAGGAGAAGGAGAAGGAGGGUGAAAGAGAGGAGAAGAGGACAAGGGCAAGGGGAGAGAGGAGGCGAUCUUCGAAGCCGAAGCCGAAUCCGAGGUUGAGCAACCUACCUAACCAUGUUCACGGUGAGCAGGUUGCAGCAGGGUGGCCCUCCUGGCUCUCUAAGGUUGCUGGUGAAGCCAUCAACGGAUUGACGCCUCGGAAAGCUGACACCUUUGAGAAGCUUGAUAAGAUCGGGCAAGGUACAUACAGCAAUGUUUACAAAGCUAGGGAUUCUUUGACGGGAAAAAUUGUUGCUCUAAAGAAGGUCCGUUUUGACAAUUUAGAGCCUGAAAGUGUGAAGUUCAUGGCUAGAGAGAUUUUGAUUCUCCGUCGUCUAGAUCAUCCCAAUGUCAUCAAACUUGAAGGCUUAGUGACUUCUAGAAUGUCGUGCAGUUUAUAUCUUGUAUUUGAAUACAUGGUGCAUGAUCUGGCUGGACUGGCCACAAACCCGGCAAUUAAGUUCACGGAAUCUCAGGUAAAAUGUUACAUGCAUCAGCUAUUUUCUGGACUGGAGCACUGUCACAACCGUCAUGUGCUGCAUCGUGAUAUAAAGGGGUCAAACCUUCUUAUUGAUAAUGAUGGAAAUCUUAGGAUUGCUGAUUUUGGAUUAGCUUCCUUCUUCGAUCCUCAUCACAAGCACCCUAUGACUAGUAGAGUGGUUACAUUAUGGUAUCGACCUCCAGAACUUCUUCUUGGGGCCACUGAAUAUGGUGUAGGAGUGGACCUCUGGAGUGCUGGCUGCAUUCUUGCUGAAUUAUUGGCUGGAAAGCCUAUUAUGCCUGGUCGAACGGAGGUGGAACAACUGCACAAGAUAUUUAAGCUAUGUGGUUCUCCUUCUGACGAAUAUUGGAAGAAAUCGAAGUUGCCUCAUGCUACCAUUUUUAAGCCCCAACAGUCAUACAAGCGGUGUAUUGCAGAGACGUUCAAAGAUUUUCCUCCAUCAUCCCUGCCGCUUAUUGACACCCUUCUCUCAAUUGAUCCGGAUGAACGUUUGACUGCCACUGCUGCGUUGCAUAGUGAAUUCUUUACAACAAAACCAUAUGCCUGUGAUCCCUCUAGCCUUCCAAAAUAUCCUCCCAGCAAGGAGAUGGAUGCAAAGCUACGGGAUGAAGAAGCUAGAAGAUUGAGAGCAGCCGGUAAAGCUAAUGUUGACGGUGUCAAGAAAUCUCGUCCACGAGAGCGAGCUGGGCGAGGAAUUCCAGUUCCAGAGGCCAAUGCUGAACUGCAAGCAAAUAUUGAUAGACGGCGGCUGAUCACACAUGCAAAUGCUAAGAGCAAGAGUGAGAAAUUUCCUCCUCCUCACCAAGAUGGAGCUCUAGGCUAUCCACUGGGUUCUUCACAUCACAUGGAUCCAGUUUUUGAUCCUCCUGAUGUUCCAUUUAGUUCCACAAACUUCUCACAACCUAAAACAAACAUCCAAACCUGGUCAGGCCCAUUGGUAGAUCCUUCUAAUGGGGGCGCACCAAGGAGAAAGAAGAAACAUGGAAAAUGAUGCCCUUCAUAUCAUCAAAGGAAGACUUAAAAAAACAAGAAUGCUUUAAGAGUCAAAGAAUAUUCUUGUUGUAUAACACCAAUCAUUUUUUAGAAGUAUUCAUGAUGAAGCUGCAAAUCUUGCUGACAUGAUGUCUGCCCUCCAGUUGCUAAAGCCAACGACAUUGGAGUGAAAUUAUUUCUAUUUGGUUGGUGGUGCUUUGGAAGAAACAUCAGAAAAUCAAUCAUAUCUAUUACGUUUGCAUUUAGAUCACUGGAUGGACGUGGCAAUCGUCUAUAAUCAAAAAGUAAAAUUGGAAUUAAAUGGUUUAUACACACGCGCGUCAAUCAAUAGUAAGUUUUUUUUCAGAGAAAUUUUCUCUACCUUUUUGAAGAUUCAUCGUCUGCUAAAGUUUGUGCUUUUUCAUGAGAUCAAACUUGCUGUAAGACGGAGUUGACCUUUAAAUAUAGAAUGUUUAAAAAUUUGAAGGAAAGUCUUUGAAAGUCUUGACAAAAUCUAUGUUAAACUGGACCAGUAUACCAUGAAAAAUGCAAUACAAAUUGUUUGUUCGAUUGAGUUACGCAAUACUAUUGACUAUUGUCCACAGCAUUGAGUGGAAAGAAAUCAAGGUUCUUAAUUAGAGUUAGAACCGACACCAUCUUACUUUCUUUUCCUUCUUCCCUUUAUGUGGGGUUGAUUGGGUGAAAUGGUUGGCCACUGUUUGAGUUGGUGUGGGAUGAGACAGAGGAACGUGCCUAGGCGAGUUCAGCUACCCUUCCACGUCAAGUUUGAUGAAUGAUCAUGCUCAUCUCUUAACUUUUCUACACCAAAAAAAGUUUUUCAUUCAUUGCGGAAACAUGUUGCCAUUUAUAAUUCAUGUCUCCCCCCACGACAGAAAAGGGUAGGUUGAAUAACCGUUGUGUCUGAGUGACAGUUAAGGUGUCUUAAGAACACUGUGGCAACAACCAAUCAAAUACAUUGGUUGCCAAAUGUCUAUAAGAUCCAACCCUGUCGUUUCCUUUAAGAGAAUUUAAGUGCGUGACAUCCUCAACAAUAGUAAAUAGGUAUGUGGUUGGUUCAUCUUGAGCAAGCAAGGUAAGAAUGAGACGAGCAGAGGAAGCAGGUUCAGGUUCAUAUCCCGGACCACCUUCGCUUCUUGCCAACUUCUUCAAUGGACUCCGUAGUUCCAUAUGCUCUUGUUUCUAUGUAGUAUGCUGUUGCUGCUUG